CAGCAGCCGCGGUAAUACGUAGGGCGCAAGCGUUAUCCGGAAUUAUUGGGCGUAAAGAGCUCGUAGGCGGUUUGUCGCGUCUGCCGUGAAAGUCCGGGGCUCAACCCCGGAUCUGCGGUGGGUACGGGCAGACUAGAGUGAUGUAGGGGAGACUGGAAUUCCUGGUGUAGCGGUGAAAUGCGCAGAUAUCAGGAGGAACACCGAUGGCGAAGGCAGGUCUCUGGGCAUUAACUGACGCUGAGGAGCGAAAGCAUGGGGAGCGAACAGGAUUAGAUACCCGCGUAGUCCCUGUCUCUUAUAA
rnacentral:rRNA from 1 species